GAUGAACGCUAGCGGCAGGCUUAACACAUGCAAGUCGAGGGGUAUAGUUCUUCGGAACUAGAGACCGGCGCACGGGUGCGUAACGCGUAUGCAAUCUACCUUUUGCAGAGGGAUAGCCCAGAGAAAUUUGGAUUAAUACCUCAUAGUAUGUGAGAAUGGCAUCAUUUUCACAUUAAAGUCACAACGGCAAAAGAUGAGCAUGCGUCCCAUUAGCUAGUUGGUAAGGUAACGGCUUACCAAGGCAACGAUGGGUAGGGGUCCUGAGAGGGAGAUCCCCCACACUGGUACUGAGACACGGACCAGACUCCUACGGGAGGCAGCAGUGAGGAAUAUUGGACAAUGGGCGCAAGCCUGAUCCAGCCAUGCCGCGUGCAGGAUGACGGUCCUAUGGAUUGUAAAACUGCUUUUGUACAGGAAGAAACACUGGUUCGUGAACCAGCUUGACGGUACUGUAAGAAUAA
rnacentral:rRNA from 1 species